CCUACGGGAGGCUGCAGUGAGGAAUAUUGGUCAAUGGCCGUAAGGCUGAACCAGCCAAGUCGCGUGAAGGAAGAAGGAUCCAUGGUUUGUAAACUUCUUUUAUUGGGGAAUAAAGGUAUCCACGUGUGGAUAUUUGCAUUUACCCUAUGAAUAAGCAUCGGCUAACUCCGUGCCAGCAGCCGCGGUAAUACGGAGGAUGCGAGCGUUAUCCGGAUUUAUUGGGUUUAAAGGGUGCGCAGGCGGAUUUUUAAGUCGUCGGUAAAAUCGUGGGGCUAAACCCCAUCCAGCCGUUGAAACUGGGGGUCUAGAGUACACGAGAGUUAUGCGGAAUGCGUGGUGUAGCGGUGAAAUGCAUAGAUAUCACGCAGAACCCCGAUUGCGAAGGCAGCAUACCAGUGCACAACUGACACUCAGGCACGAAAGCGUGGGUAUCGAACAGGAUUAGAUACCCUAGUAGUC
rnacentral:rRNA from 1 species